CACCUAGAUGUUCUGGGCCGCACGCGCGCUACACUGAACAGUUCAACAAGUCUUAACCUUGGCCGAUAGGUCUGGGUAAUCUUUGAACGCUGUUCGUGAUUGGGAUAGACCUUUGCAAUUAUGGGUCUUCAACGAGGAAUUCCUAGUAAACGCAAGUCAUCAGCUUGCAUUGAUUACGUCCCUGCCCUUUGUACACACCGCCCGUCGCACCUACCGAUUGAAUGGUCCGGUGAAAUCUCGGGACGGCGGCUUGGUCGCUUGCGUCCGACUGCUGAAACUUGAUUAAACCAUAUCAUUUAGAGGAAGGUGAAGUCGUAACA
rnacentral:rRNA from 1 species